ACGAACGCUGGCGGCGUGCUUAACACAUGCAAGUCGAACGGUGAAGCGCCUUCCUUUUUGGUGGGUGUGGAUGAGUGGCGAACGGGUGAGUAACACGUGAGUAACCUGCCCCCUUCUUCUGGAUAACCGCAUGAAAGUGUGGCUAAUACGGGAUAUUCUGGGUCUGUCGCAUGAUGGGUCUGGGAAAGAUAUUGUUUCGGUGGGGGAUGGGCUCGCGGCCUAUCAGCUUGUUGGUGGGGUGAUGGCCUACCAAGGCGGUGACGGGUAGCCGGCCUGAGAGGGUGGACGGUCACACUGGGACUGAGACACGGCCCAGACUCCUACGGGAGGCAGCAGUGGGGAAUAUUGCACAAUGGGAGCAAGCCUGAUGCAGCGACGCCGCGUGAGGGAUGGAGGCCUUCGGGUUGUGAACCUCUUUCGCCAGUGAAGCAGGCCUGCCUCGUUUGUGGGUGGGUUGACGGUAGCUGGAUAAGAAGCGCCGGCUAACUACGUG
rnacentral:rRNA from 1 species